ACCCUCGUAUUAUUGUGUUUUGGGUUGAAACCGAGCUUAGCCUUGUUCAUUUUUUUACACAACACCUCCGUAAAAAAUAAAACACGGCGCACCGGAGAUAGCCCUUUACCCGGGAAAUAGCGGAUAAUGGAUUGCCCCGAUAUGCAGCAAAUCUGCCGUAGAUGUGCCAUUUCAGGGCAU
rnacentral:sRNA from 3 species